rnacentral:rRNA from 1 species
AUUGAACGCUGGCGGCAUGCUUUACACAUGCAAGUCGAACGGGGUGAAGGGGCAACUCUUCAUUCAGUGGCGAACGGGUGAGUAAUGCAUCGGAACGUACCUCGUAGUGGGGGAUAACUCGGCGAAAGCCGUGCUAAUACCGCAUAUGCUCUACGGAGGAAAGCAGGGGACCUUAACCGGCCUUGUGCUAUGGGAGCGGCCGAUGUCCGAUUAGCUUGUUGGUGGGGAAUGGCCUACCAAGGCGACGAUCGGUAGCUGGUCUGAGAGGAUGAUCAGCCACACUGGGACUGAGACACGGCCCAGACUCCUACGGGAGGCAGCAGUGGGGAAUUUUGGACAAUGGGGGCAACCCUGAUCCAGCCAUGCCGCGUGCGGGAAGAAGGCCU